UANGCGGAGGAAAAGAAACUAACAAGGAUUCCCCUAGUAACUGCGAGUGAAGCGGGAAAAGCUCAAAUUUAAAAUCUGGCGGUCUUUUGGCUGUCCGAGUUGUAAUCUAGAGAAGUGUUAUCCGCGCUGGACCGCGUACAAGUCUCCUGGAAUGGAGCAUCAUAGAGGGUGAGAAUCCCGUCUUUGACAUGGACUGCCAGGGCUUUGUGAUGCGCUCUCAAAGAGUCGAGUUGUUUGGGAAUGCAGCUCAAAAUGGGUGGUAAAUUCCAUCUAAAGCUAAAUAUUGGCGAGAGACCGAUAGCGAACAAGUACCGUGAGGGAAAGAUGAAAAGAACUUUGGAAAGAGAGUUAAACAGUACGUGAAAUUGCUGAAAGGGAAACGCUUGAAGUCAGUCGCGUCAUCCAGGGAUCAACCUUGCUUUUGCUUGGUGCACUUCCUGGUUUGAUGGGCCAGCAUCAAUUUUGGCCGCUGGAAAAAGGCUGAGGGAAUGUGGCAUCUUCGGAUGUGUUAUAGCCCUUAGUCACAUACAGUGGCUGGGAUUGAGGAACUCAGCACGCCGCAAGGCCGGGUUUUUAAACCACGUACGUGCUUAGGAUGCUGGCAAUAUGGCUUUAAUCGACC
rnacentral:rRNA from 1 species